CCUUUCCACGGAACCUGUUGGGUUACCUUCUGUCCCGCAGUUUGAAUCAAACCUUUUAGCGCCGACGUUGGAGUUAAAGUUUUUAGGCAAGAGAGUUUAAAUAAAGUUGAAUUUUGGUGCAUCAUGCCAAGAUCAUGUGGAAAUAUUUUCACAUUUUUACAAAAGAUCCUUGAUUUGUAGUUCUUUUUCUAAAUCUCAAGAAUUAAGCAGGGCUCUGGUAUGUCACGCCAGAGUCCACCUUUUCUCUUUUGUGCAUGUUUGCAGGCCAGAGCUUCAGGAGCUGCAUGAUGACCUGCAGUCCCACCCUCUGAUCAUCCCACUGUUGCUUCCACCUGUCUGUAUGGAUGUCUGGUAGAUGCCUGCUGACAUCCUGACCUGCAGUCCCUCCAACCGCUUCGGUGUCUGCUGUUUACAUCUGUUUAUAUAGUCAUCCCUGCAGUACACCAACUAACCAUUUUGUCUGUGUCUCUGCCCUCUCUGUUCUUCAUUCUCUCUGUCUGUUCUCUUCUUUCCUGCUCUGCCUAGCUGGCCUCCGGCAGGAGGGUCCCCCCUUAUGAUCCAGGUCCUGGUCCAGGUUUCUUCCCUCCUAAAGGAGUUUUUCCUUGCCACUGUUUGGCUUAAGGUUUUUCUCCCACUAGGGGAGUUUUUACCUGCCAUUGUAAUAAUAAUGGUAAUAAUGGAUAGGGUCAUGUUUUGUGUCGGAGCAGCAUGGUGGCUAGCGAAAAGGUUCCCAGUUCAACUCCCUGGCCCGGCGGGGGUCUUUCCGUGUGGAGUUUGCAUGUUUUCCUCAUGCUUGCGUGGUUCCCUCCAGCUACUCCGGCUUCCUCCCUCAGUCCAAAAAACAUGCAUGGGACUUUGUAAGGAGCGUGUGAACGAAGAGUGCUAAGACAACUCUUAACGCAUAGACCACCAGGAGUUAGCCCGGCUGAACUGAUUAUGGGCCGAAAGAUCAAGACAACACAUCCAACACUCAACACAAACCUUCAACCUCGAUGGGCUAACCUGAAAGCCGUCAGGAGCAAGGAUGCAAAGGAGAAGGAGAAACAGGCUUUCUACUUCAACCUUUGCCAUGGAGCAAAGACCCUACCGUCGCUGAAGCCUGGUGAUCCCAUCCUCAUGAAGUUGGACUAUCAACACACGUGGGGAACACCCGCUGUCAUUGCUAGCAACAGUUCUACUCCGCGUUCCUAUGUCAACGAGACUCAACGGGGUGCGACGCUGAGGCACAACCGUCGUCACCUGCAACAUGUCCCUGCGCCAGCUGGAGACACACCAGCACCAGUAGACAGCAACAGGAAGCUUCUACACGGCAGUCUGACCCUAACAUUGCCAGUGACACUGAUUCACCAACACCCAAUUCUUGUCCACCGCCCACACAGGAUGGACUGUUGUUAACUAGGUCUGGCAGACUGAGCUAACCUGUGGACUGACUGAAUUUGUAAGAACGGGUGACGUAACGGUUAUAAUGGUUUACUACCGGCUGCCUGCUGUUUUUACACCUGCCUAUCGAAGUUCUGAGUAAACUAUCGGAUCGUACAACUUGUGUGGAGUUAUUGAAAACCAUUGCAAGUGGGACCUGCUGGAGAAAAUGAUGAGACACAUUUAUUUUAAGGGAAUCAAAUUUGUUUUCAUGUUUAUUUUGAAUCUACAAGAGCAAUGAAAAACUAUUGAUUUUUAAAAAUAUUUUAAAAAUUUAGUAUUUACAUGUUAACAGCAUCCAUCCAUCGUCCGCCGCUUAUCCAUUCCUGGGUCGCGGGGGCAGCAGCCCCAGCAGAGAUGCCCAGACUUCCUUCACCCCAGACAAUUCCUCCAGCUCUUCCGAGGGGAGUCCGAGACGUUCCCAGGCCAGCCGAGAGACAUAGUCUAUCCAGCGUGUCCUGGGUCUUCCCCGGGGUCUCCUCCCGGAGGGACAUGCCUGGAACCCCUCCCUAGGGAGGCGUCCAGGAGGAUCCAGUACAGAUAACCAAGCCACCUCAGCUGACUCCUCUCAAUGUGAAGGAGCAGCGGCUCGACUCCGAGCUCCUCCCGGGUGACCGAACUCCUCACCCUAUCUCUAAGGGAGCGUCCAGCCACCCUGCAGAGAAACUCAUCUCUAAGGGAGCGUCCAGCCACCCUGCGGAGGAAACUCAUCUCUAAGGGA